rnacentral:lncRNA from 1 species
ACAUUAAUAUGUAGUAAGGUAACCAAUAUGGAUUACAGGACAAGUUUCAUAAAGACCCUCUUAAAUGAUACUACAAAAGUAAUGCAGAUAUCAGAGGGACAAAACAGCACUCCUGGCCUUCCUGCUAUUCUUCAAAAGACAGUGUAGCUCAUUUUUAGAUAAGUUAUAACUCUCUAAAUUGAGGUUUAAGGCCAUGUCUAAGGGAUUUUUAAGGACAACUGAAAAUGAUUUGUCAAAAAACAUUGUAGAAGCUUCACAACGCUAUUUUUCCUCCAGAAGCUAUUUCAAGCCAUUUUAAAUUAAUGUACCCGGGAAAAGCAUCUGCCAGGUACAAUGCAUGCUCUGAGAUGCUCCCUGUAAUCAAGAGUGGAAUGAGAGAAGACCCAGGCACGCCCGGAAGAGAUGGUCUGGUAGGAAGCACAGGUACAUAAAUUUUCAUGUAUAUGAAUAAAAGCCAGGAAGGACACUGCCAGACGAAAAAGAUACAGAUAAAGAGCUAGAAGGAAAGAGGGGUCAGUGCAAAACAGGCGAAGAUAAAUUGGCGCGUUUUGGCCAUUUUCAGUCCCCAUAGGGCUAGGCCCUCUCUGGCUCAGUGUGUACUUGUUGAGAGAAUGAAGCAAAGUGGCGGGAAAUGGUACCUGGAAGUGGAGGCGGCACAGAAAGUGGCCUCGGAGAAAAGGCAACAAGUGAAUGGAGGCAGUAUCCACGGCGAGGUGUAAGGGAGGGCUGGCUGGCCGACAGUGAACGCGCUAGGGGAAGCCGGCUCCAAAUAGGCAGGUUCGAUAAGGUGCAGCAAGUUGGAAACACGACAGAUUGUUAGAAAACACAGAGCGAACCAGGCCGACGAGGGAGGAAGAUGGGCUCCAGCUGUGUGGCAACAGAAUCCGACAAACAGCUGCAGAGAAGACCUGGCCGGAGGUACAGCUCCAGGCACUCACCGCCCUGGGCCACAGCCUCCGCCCGCUUUCAGCGCCACCGCCUACGCGGGAGGAGGAAGUGCAUCUAGAGAAGGUCUCCUAGGUGGGGUCUAAGGGGGCUCGGCUUCCCCGAACGCCGAGACGUUAUAAUUUCUUAACUCCUACGGGACUGAGCUUCUCCGUGUACAACCAAAAUUGCCCACCUUCGGGUCUUUCGGCCUCGGGGGCCCAGGAGAGGCCCGGGACCCGCACCCAUGUGCUCCCACAUCCCAGCGGUUCUCGUUCCCUUCCUGGCUUCCGGCUGAGCCCCUCCGGCCCCCGCGCCCGAGUGGAGCGCGGCUGGCUGGCCGCACCCGCCCCUACAGGCCGGGCGGAGCAGGCACGCGCGGCGCAGGGGGCGGGCUGGGCUCGGCCCGGCUGCAGCCGCAAAAGGCCUGCUGGUCCCGGCGCACCCGUGGGGAAGGAGAAGGCGCUAGCGGCGGCUGAACCUCCAGAGACCAGUCGAAACUCCUGGGGGGCGCUGAAAAAGACGCUGAACCCCCAUUCCCCAGCUCUGGAGCCCGGCAUCCCUCCCUAUUGCACCCACCCGCCCGGGUCCAUCCCCCGCCCCGGCGCAUCAGCGUCUCCGGUUUCCCAUUGAUGAGGUGGGGGAGGGAAGGCAGGUCGGGAGGGCUCCGGGGGCACUCGCUCGCGCACGCGGCGGGCAGAAUCCCCAAGCGUCCGGGAGCCCUCCCCCCACCCCUCAGCCAGCACCUAGGAGGCUGCCAGCCGCUGCCGGAAUCGCGCUGGGGUGCGUUUGGUUUGCCCUAUGCUGAUGGCCAGCCAGACCUGGGGUUAAGGGGAGGAAGAGAAUGUCUGCCACAGCAGCUCUGUCUACGAGGAAGAAGCGAGAUGAGCACACGCACCCUUUUCUGUUAAAUAUUGCAAGGUGACACAGGAUCGCUUCCCACACGGGGAUUUUCAAAAGGACUGGAGGAGGGAACGCAAUAAACAAGAAAGAUGCUUUCCCGGGUCAGAAGUUUGUCUGAGGAAGAGCCCCUAAGGACUCUGCACACUGAGGGGUUUUUGAUCUGUGUCAACUCCAGUCAGCAGCUUCCCACUGACUUAGAACUGAGAGUGUCCAAAAGGCGUCUCCGUAAAACAAACUUAAUAAUGGCGUGGCUCCAAGAGCUUGGGUUCAUUCAUUUUUAUUACCGUUUUCAUUGUCCCCUCCUCCCCCGCCCCCCGCCCCUGUCUCUUUAAGAAACCGGAAAGGGAUAAAGGGGUCCAGGAAAGGAGGAAUCCGGCUCAGGAGCAGCAAAGAGGAGGGCAGUGAAGUAAGAGAAACGCAAGGAGAAAGGAAGGACACGAGGGAUGGGAAAGGGCGAGGACCAGAGAGCCGAGGACUGCGGCGGGCGGGAGAGGGUUAAAGGGAGCAGGAGACCGGGUCCUCCCCCACUGCCUUUCACACUCUGCCUGCCGGAGGCCAAGCAAGAAAACCCAAAUCUAGAUGAAAACCAGGAGCAGCAAAGGUAUGGACUGUGACAUCUCUCCCGCCUUCCCUGUCGCGCAGACAUCUACUCUAUGUACACAUAUAUGUUCUAUGUUAUAUAAUCUAUGUUAAAGAUGCAUGCUUAGCCACGGCUAACCCAGGGGCAACCACAGAACCACGCGUCUCAUGCAGCCCCAGUGUCCCCUGCACCCGGGAGACCCGGGAACUCGGCAACUGCCCGCGGUUCCUCGCUCCAUUCACACCCCAGAAAGGGAGUACCGACAUUAAGGCACACCCGGGAGACGCGCGAGGCUCCCGGGGACUGUAUCACGAGAAAGCAUCACCUACCAGUUUUCCUGCAUCCAUUGGAUGGCUUCGUUCUCGUUGAACUGCUUUUCGAAUUCAUAUUCUUGUAAAGUCAACACUGACAUGUUCAUUGGGGCUGAUCUUCGGAGUCGCUACGUGUUCUCUACACAAAAUAAAAUAAUCUGUAAAGCG